GCUUACGGCCACACCGGCCUGAGUACGCCUGAUCUCGAUCUCGUCCGAUCUCGAAGCUAAGCAGGGUCGGGCCUGGUUAGUACUUGGAUGGGAGACCGCCUGGGAAUACCAGGUGCUGUAAGCU
rnacentral:rRNA from 1 species